AGUCAUAUGCUUGUCUCAAAGAUUAAGCCAUGCAUGUCUCAGUACAAGCCUAAUUAAGGUGAAACCGCGAAAGGCUCAUUAAAUCAGUUAUGGUUCCUUAGAUCGUACCCACAUUUACUUGGAUAACUGUGGUAAUUCUAGAGCUAAUACAUGCAAACAGAGCUCCGACCGGAGACGGAAGGAGCGCUUUUAUUAGAUCAAAACCAAUCGGCGGCGGGCUUGCUCGCUGUCGUACACCUUGGUGAAUCUGAAUAACUUUCUGCUGAUCGCAUGGUCUCGCACCGGCGACGCAUCUUUCAAAUGUCUGCCUUAUCAACUGUCGAUGGUAGGUUCUGCGCCUACCAUGGUUGUAACGGGUAACGGGGAAUCAGGGUUCGAUUCCGGAGAGGGAGCCUGAGAAACGGCUACCACAUCCAAGGAAGGCAGCAGGCGCGCAAAUUACCCACUCCCGGCACGGGGAGGUAGUGACGAAAAAUAACGAUACGGGACUCAUCCGAGGCCCCGUAAUCGGAAUGAGUACACUCUAAACCCUUUAACGAGGAUCAAUUGGAGGGCAAGUCUGGUGCCAGCAGCCGCGGUAAUUCCAGCUCCAAUAGCGUAU
rnacentral:rRNA from 2 species